CUACAAUCCUUUUAAUAUGCAAGUCUGAUCGUGACUCCACAGCUCACACUGUGUGGCUUCUCUCCAUCAGCACCGAGGAAGAUCUGAGACAACUUGCUUUCGUGGUUUAAAGAAAGAAAAGAAGAAAAAAGCCAGAAAGUUGAGCCAGAAAGAGGAAAAGAGGCGCAUACAGAGGAAAGGCAGGGCGAAGAGGAAAGAUUCAGAAAGAAGUUGGGAGACCAGGGAACUUGCGGAGGAAAGAAAGAAGACAAAGACGGCAAAAAAGUAAUGAGGGCUAGGGAAGAUCUUUAACGAACCGGAGUUACACCCAUCUUUCACUUUCAAGUCGAUUGGCUAGAUCUUAUCCGUUUCCUUUGUGAAGGUCGUCCGCACUGUUGAAGGAAGCUAGUCUGUCCUCCCCUCCGCAGCCCGCCCCACGCCUGGUUGCGUCGCUGUAUCCCCGGCCACUGAGACCCAAUCCAUCCCGAGUGGGAACGUUUGCAGGAGCGCCACUCUGGGAACACUCUUGCGCCUGGUUGUCACCCGGGAGCCUAACCGGAUUAAUACCCAGAGUUGGAUUACGCUGGCUGUCACCAAUACGCCUAAAGAUUAUAAUCCAAUUUAUGCACAUUACAGCCAGUAUUAACUUUAUCUGCUAUUUUAAGACUCCCAGUUGCCCCGCGUGUCCUCAGAGGACAAUCCUCCACGUUCUGAUGCAACCCACCAAGGCUGUCCGGAGGGGACACCUCCCGAAGAAAACAACUCCAAGCUUGGUUCCCCGAGGGUCUGCACCCGGUACUCCCAGGUGUCUUACCUUCACCUGGGCACCGCUGUGCGAUGCCUACCAGCCGGGGAUUACCAAAGCGGGAGGAGUUCCCUUGGAAGGAAAUGACAUUUUUGUUCAUUUCAUUUUUGAAUUAUCGGUGGCGGUGGCAGGCGGGGAGUGGGAGUGGUGGACGAGUGCCUGUGAGCGUGGAUGGGGAAGGGGGCCAGGGGAUUGUGACCGGUUAUAACAGUCUCAGCGACUGCUUUUUGAUGUUUGUUUGUAGAGUGGCACUUCUCUCGCUCUUUCCUUAAAUAAAUUUGUUUGGGCGUGA